UGCCCCUCCAAGAAGGUUUAUCUUUAGAUUCCUACUACAAUUUUAAUGAUGAAAUGAGGUACUUUUGUGACAGUAUCUUAUAAACUCCAAAGAACCAAUGUCUGACAUUUUGGUCAUCAUAAUAUAUUCAGAAAGCCAGUAGAAUGGAGGGUGUGAAUAAGAUUCUUAGGAGUGGGUGAACAAUACUCUCAAGAGAACUUCAGAGGAAAAAAAGUGUAAAUGCAACCCAAACAGAGUUGCAGGAAGUGCUAAUUUUCCUUCCCUCAGUUUAGGAAAUGGAUAGAGAAGACACUGUGGUGGUUGGGACUUGAGCCAGGCUCCAAAGUCAGGGUGGGACUUAGAAAGUCAGGGAGGAAGAGAGGAGAAUUUCUCAUCAUGGAACAGCAAGAGAGCAUCACAGAGACUAUGACAUGGACAAUGUGUCUAGGGGACACUGAGAAGCACAACUUGGCGGUAGCAGAUGGAUGUGUUUUGAGGACAAGAGAUGGGUAUGGAGAGGUGGAGUGGAGUCUUGCUGGGGAAUGCUCCUCAUACCAGGUGGAACAAAUGAGAGGUUGCCUCUGGCCACAAAGUUGGGUUGUGGCAGAGCUGGAUGCAGGCCAGAAGCGUAAACCCGGAUGGAGCAUAAACCAGGAUCCAGAAGGAGGAGGAAAAAGGGAUUCACACUGCUUCUGCAUUUCCAUGUUUUUUUGGUGGCCUUUCUUCCCUCCUUACUUGACUUGCUUGGCUUAGAAGCAUUCCCCUUGUUCCCUUCUGAUUUACUACAUUUUUCUCUAUAAACUCUGCAUCUGGGAAAGUAUGAGCCAACCCUUUCUCUAGCUUGUUUUAGGUGCUGCAGACAAAGGCACUAAAUAUUUUUGGUGGAUGUACUUCUGUUACUAUGCUCUAGCUCAGCAUUUGUCCUCCGGAUAAGCUAUAAAAUUAAGGUCCUAAUUGUAGUUUGGUGCUAAGAAUCCCCCCUGACGCUGGUCAGUUUCAAGGGCAAAUGGGUGCUUUGAAUGUUCAAGCAAGGUGCCUAAGUGCCUUCUGUGUUCCCGGAGCUGUGCUAAGAGUUGGGGGUACAGAGAUGAGCAAGGCACCUUUGCUUCCCUCGAUGAAGCUAUAGACAGGCCCGUAAACAGAUCAUGUCCGUAAGACAUUCCAUCUCUUAGACAGAUGGAAUCAGAUGGGUAGGGCUGGGUGGCAGAGGUAGUCGUGCACUCUGGAUUUUGAACAAGUGCACUGGGUAAUUUUUCUGCUCUUAGGUUUUGGCAUCACUGCUCAAAUGGCUGGGAAGGGAUUGUCAUUCAGUUCUGAUUACUUCUCACAGAAGAAUUACACACACGUUCUUCACUUGAGAUGAUGAACGUUUAAGCUCUAAAACAAUUCCCAGCUAUAAAAAUGUUGCUAGUUAUUACUUAAUUUUGACUAUGCUCCACAUAUUGAAUAACAGGCUUUACUUUUCAUAUGGAUUGAUUGCUCCAACAAUUUCAUGACAAUCUAUGCUAUUACCCCAUUUCACAGGUGAUGAUUCAUGAUGUUAAGUAACUUCCUAGUAAAUGUUCACGAUUCAAGCUCCUCUAUAACCCUGACCAAGGCCCUCAUCCUCCUAGAGUUUCUCAUCUCUGUUCUAUUGACUUCAGGUCAACCACCCACAUCUCUUUUCUGUCCCAAGGCCUCCUGGGAAGAUGAGCCAAUUAGCCUGGAGGUUGCCUGUGUGAUGGAGGAACGGCGGAGGGCUCAGUGUGUGGCAGCAGUGGGCUGGAAAGAAAAGGGCCAAGCCAACCCCGGAGAGGGAAAUCUAGUGACCCUCAGCUUCCCGCCUUCUCCUGCCCUCUCAGCCUUGUUUGUUGUCUUUCCUAUUUCUAUGUUUACAUUCCACCUUGUAAUUAAGCAAUCAGCUUUUUCUCAGUGAUUAUUCACGAUCUCAGCUGGCAAAAGUCACUUGAUCUUUGGCUCUAUGCCUUCCCAUCAGAGUGUCGCCCAGUGCAUGUGCUAAUCACCCAGAACCCCCGCUGCCCUGCUUGGCAUGCUCGCUUUGGAGCUAGCUCAAGCCACGUGCCUUCAGUUGCAGCUGCCCCACCUGGCCUGGCUAGGGUGACUGUCACCUGAAGUUUCUCCACAGGACAGCAGGGCUCUGUAGGUUUUGUCAAAAUCUGUCCGUGCCCGUUGAAUAAGGGGUGAGGGUGGCUGCCUCCUGUUCACACUUGAUGGGGACAGCCCUGUCUGCCCCUGACUGAGGAAUGAAGCCCACUUGGGAGGAGUUCUGCAAAUAGCCCUCCCACUGGUGUGUCCUUGCAGAAUCUGCUCUGUUGCUGGGCAAAGAACAGGAGAAUAGAUGGUGCCAAGUGAGCCCCUGAGAGUAGACUUAAUCAGAGCCGUCCACCCUUGACAUUUACGAGGUGGUUGAACAAACAGUCUGCAGGCUCAGAGCCGGAGUUUCUCACCUGCUUACUAAAUAACUACAAGGUAGAGGGUUUAACUUUAUACUAAAGUUCAUAAUGUGAACAUUUUAUGACUGCAAAAGCCAUUCUUUCCUCUCGGUUCUAUUUCUUUUCUCUCUCCUCUCCCUUAUCUGUACAUUUCAUUCUCCACUUUGCCAGUGGAGUCGGCUCUCAUCCCUGGGCUUUCUCUCUUUCAUCCCCCUUCGUCAUCAUACUUGGACAAUCCCUCCAACCUUGUAAAAUGGAGGCAGCAGUUCCAUGUGCUCCUGGCCUCCUCAGGGCAGGGGAGCUCUGAUAGAAGAGGAGCACCAGGAACAACCGAGGUAUCUUAAGAUUCUGCUCUGGGCUUCUCUAAGCUCUUUGAGGACACAAUUUAUUUCUUGAUAUUCUUUAGAUCUCCUUCCUCCCCUCCCCUCCCCUGUUACUAGUAUUUCAUAUGUGUACACUUAAUCAGCAGAAGGGUGGACACAGAAGCAAACUGGAGCUCGUGUCUCGUGUACUUGGAACCAGCAUUUGUCAUCUCUGAAAGGAUUGUCUCCAGUGAUUUCUCAGGCCCCUCAUUGUCUGAGGUUUGCUGGUCAUUGAGCAAAGGAGUGUGGUACCUUUCCUCUUCUACGCAGGCUCCUCUCUGUGGCUCAGAUAAGCCAAUCCUACAGCCUGAUGAUGCCUUCUCCUGGGGUUUCUGAUCAGCCUUCAGUGAACUCCUUGCCCGCAUGCUUGUCUGAUCCUGUCCCCAGUGGCAGAGGAGGAGAAGGAAAAGGAGCGGGGACAGGCAAGGUGGUGCCCAUGCCUGUGGUCCAAGGUCAACACACUGAAUACCAGGGACCAGGAGAAGAAGAAACAGAUUCAGCAUAACCUCCAGGCCAGGAUGGACGAGACCAUCGCCUGCAGCUGCAGGGACUAGGAGGUCAGGAGUGGAAAGGCCCUCUGAAUUGGGGGCCACCGCCUUGGGAGAAGAAGAUGAGAGACAGAAGAUGCGAGUUGGGCACCUGGGUGACUCAGUGGUUGAGCGUCUGCCUUUGGCUCAGGGCAUGAUCCCAGAAUCCCGGGAUCGAGUCCCAUAUCCGGCUCCUUGCAUGGACCCUGCUUCUCC